GAUGAACGCUGGCGGCGUGCCUAAUACAUGCCAGUCGAGCGAACAGACGAGGAGCUUGCUCCUCUGACGUUAGCGGCGGACGGGUGAGUAACACGUGGAUAACCUACCUAUAAGACUGGGAUAACUUCGGGAAACCGGAGCUAAUACCGGAUAAUAUAUUGAACCGCAUGGUUCAAUAGUGAAAGACGGUUUUGCUGUCACUUAUAGAUGGAUCCGCGCCGCAUUAGCUAGUUGGUAAGGUAACGGCUUACCAAGGCAACGAUGCGUAGCCGACCUGAGAGGGGAAUCGGCCACACUGGAACUGAGACACGGUCCAGACUCCGACGGGAGGCAGAAGUAGGGAAACUGCCGCAAUGGGCGAAAGCUUGACGGAGCAACGCCGGGUGAGUGAGGAAGGUCUUCGGAUCGUAAAACUCUGUUAUGAGGGAAGAACAAAUGUGUAGUAACUAUGCACGUCUUGACGGUACCUAAUCAGAAAGCCACGGCUAACUACGUG
rnacentral:rRNA from 1 species